AUUGAACGCUGGCGGCAUGCUUUACACAUGCAAGUCGAACGGUAACAGGCCGCAAGGUGCUGACGAGUGGCGAACGGGUGAGUAAUGCAUCGGAACGUGCCCAGUCGUGGGGGAUAACUACUCGAAAGAGUAGCUAAUACCGCAUACGAUCUAUGGAUGAAAGCGGGGGACCGUAAGGCCUCGCGCGAUUGGAGCGGCCGAUGUCAGAUUAGGUAGUUGGUGGGGUAAAGGCUCACCAAGCCAACGAUCUGUAGCUGGUCUGAGAGGACGACCAGCCACACUGGGACUGAGACACGGCCCAGACUCCUACGGGGGGCAGCAGUGGGGAAUUUUGGACAAUGGGCGCAAGCCUGAUCCAGCAAUGCCGCGUGCAGGAAGAAGGCCUUCGGGUUGUAAACUGCUUUUGUACGGAACGAAACGGCUCUGGUUAAUACCCGGGGCUAAUGACGGUACCGUAAGAAUAAGCACCGGCUGACUACGUG
rnacentral:rRNA from 1 species